AUUCUCAGUAAUGCAGUAAAGUAAUGCAUUUCAUUACUGCAGGACGGACAGCAGAGCAGCAGUGCAGCCACACAGCUGUGCACGUGACUUUUAUGUCAUUGCUCAAAAGGAGCGCGAUGGUAAAAUGGAGAGUGCUCCAGGACAGAAGCAGCAGCACUGCUAACACAACUCAUGAUGUCCGAUGGCUCUUCAGUCCAAGACUCUAUUUUAGCAUCAUUUAUCAAUUCUGAAUGUUUUGGGAAAAAGUUUUAUUAAAAGCUUUGUUUGAAUGCUUUUACUAUGGAGAACACACCCGGACAACAGUUUCAAUUCUUUUGUCCUCCAGGCCUGCAGCUCUACACUCGCUGUCUUUGGAUCUGUCCCCCCCUUCCAUAUUUGACAUAAUAGUAUGAUCCUAGUGUGUCUUUGCAUGUGAUUGGCUGCACGGUGUGCCCAUCAGUACAAAGCACCGCCUGCCUGCAUGGGCUCUCAUCAGGGCUGAGCAGCAGGUGCUGAACACUCUGCUCUCCCUGAGGAGUCUGCUGUUAUGAACGACACAUCAGCAGAUCGCCUGUUUGCAGACAUCUGCAGACAGCAUGCUAAUGCUAAGCUAACGCUAAGCUAGCCACACACCCAGUGAUGUAUGCAGACUCCAGCACAGCAGCCAGAGCCUGAACUUCACCAGGUCUGCCUGCUGCACCCGCCAUCUACCAACCACAGAGCUGCCGUGACACGCACACUGCGACCGAGCUUCAGCUGUGCAAGCUUCUGUCAGAACCAGAAUCAUUACUGAUCAUUACAGUUACUUUGAUGGGAAGUUGGAACGUGUCAUACAUGGAGUCACGAGUGUUGAAACUGAACAGGAUGGAUGUUUAUCUCUGUUGGAAGACGAUCCUGGCAUCAGACGAAGGAUCUCUCACCUUGCUGCCGCUCGUCACACUGUG